rnacentral:rRNA from 1 species
UACGUAUGUCCCGAGCGUUAUCCGGAUUUAUUGGGCGUAAAGCGAGCGCAGACGGUUGAUUAAGUCUGAUGUGAAAGGCCGGAGCUCAACUCCGGUAUGGCACUGGAAACUGGUUAACUUGAGUGUUGUAGAGGUAAGUGGAACUCCAUGUGUAGCGGUGGAAUGCGUAGACAUAUGGAAGAACACCAGUGGCGAAGGCGGCUUACUGGCCAACAACUGACGUUGAGGCUCGAAAGUGUGGGUAGCAAACAGG